rnacentral:rRNA from 1 species
UGGGGAAUAUUGCACAAUGGACGGAAGUUUGAUGCAGCGACGCCGCGGGGAGGGUGUAGGCCUUCGGGUUGUGAACUCCUUUUUCUCGCGAAAAAGGCACAGUUUUGGCUGUGUUGAUGGUAGUGGGGGAAGAAGCGCCGGCUAACUCCGUGCCAGCAGCCGCGGUAAUACGGAGGGUGCAAGCGUUAAUCGGAAUUACUGGGCGUAAAGCGCACGCAGGCGGUUUGUUAAGUCAGAUGUGAAAUCCCCGGGCUCAACCUGGGAACUGCAUCUGAUACUGGCAAGCUUGAGUCUCGUAGAGGGGGGUAGAAUUCCAGGUUUAGCGGUGAAAUGCGUAGAGAUCUGGAGGAAUACCGGUGGCGAAGGCGGCCCCCUGGACGAAGACUGACGCUCAGGUGCGAAAGCGUGGGGAGCAAACAGG